AAUAAAAUAAAAUAAAAUAAAAUAAAAUAAAAUAAAUAAAAUAGUUUUUAGGAUUGCUUUAAACCUCUAGCAAGUCCUUUUGAUCUUUCAUGACCAUACUGCUUUUCCUGAAGAGAAGAGAAGACCGUUCUCUUCUCUUCAGCAUUCUCACAUGUACUGCAAUGGGAAUUUUUACCAUGAUCCUAAUAUCUGUUUCUGACCCUUGUUACUCCUGAGAGUUGCCCUCUGUUGUCUGUAGCCUGGUCUUCCUUUGCUUUUUCAUCAUUUCCUGUCAGGUAUUUUCUGCAUUAAUGUGGGGGCUGCUAAGAAUUCAGUUCUGUGCUACAACUGCUACCCAAAUCCUGAUUUACCUUGAGUGGUUACUUUGCUGUUGAAUGGUUUCUAAGCAAAUUGGUCACUCAUACUUCAUGUUGCUGCUGGCACGUUUAGAUGGAAGAGGUCAUACUUUUUGAAAAUUUAUCCUUCAGUACUCCCUGUUUGAAUCUUUGUUUAGCAAGUAAAAUUAAGUAGACCUGAGAGGAGUUAGAAGUUCUUUUAGAUCCACUUACCUGUUUAGAAAAAUAAGACCUUGCAUAUCUUAGCUGAUGAUCAGUCGAUUGUAAUAGAUAGCUGUUAGUAUUUCCUGAACAUGUAGCAUAAUGUCAGGUACAGAGUUACAUACUUUACCUGGAUUAUCUCAUUUCUUCCUCAUAAUGGCCUUAAGAAGUAGGUACUAUUAUCUUCAUUUUACAUGAGGCAGCUGAGACUCAGGAAGUUAAGUGACUGGCUGAAGGUCGCGUAGAUACCUGUUCAAGGUCACAUGCUGGAGCAUCCGUAAGAACAUGCAUAGCUUGAUCCAGAUAACCCAGGCUUUUACCUAUUGCAGCAUAAUUGAAAUAGUGUGCUUCAGACAUUAUAGGCAUCUUGAGCUUGUAUUGGGAAGUGGGCACACAUCAACGUGAAGGGCCAUGAUGUUUGGAUAAUUUUCAAAUCAGAUCUACUAGCAACUAAGUCUCUAUACUUAGCUACAUAAAUGUAGCAUUCAUCACAUUAUAUGAUUGAGCAUUCACUCAGAAUAUUUCAAUAGUACUUGAAUUGCUAUCAGCUAAAUUUUCUAUUCGUACUUUUGCUAGGCAUUUUUGUUAGCUAAACUCUCACUGGUAGUAGCAGCAUAGAUAGAGAGGGGAGAAGCCUGGCCCCUUCCCUGUUACAGGUUUAGAGUCGUUCCAUAUAUCAGAGUAUAAAGUCACACUACACCUGCUAGGGUGAGGAUGGGGGGCAUUUGUGCAAUAUAACUAUAAGAAAUGUGCUCAAAAAUGAAAUGUGUGACUGUAAAUAAAUAAGUUAGCUACUUGGUUCUGUGGCUAAGAAGCAAAAUAAUAAAGAUGGAAAUUGAAAAAGAGGAAGCUCCAACUUCAUCUCUUGGAGGGAUCACAGGGAUCAGGUUUUGCCCCUUCAGUGUCUGUGCUUCUACUGGUGGCACUUGGUAACGGGGCAUUAUGACAUGGAUGGGGAUGUUGUGAUGUGCUGUCUUCUAAGUACCUAUAUUUCUAACCAAAGGUUUGACCUCUAACAGCUAGACAUGGGUGAAAUUGGAUACCAAGCUUAAUGGUUUACCUACAGCAUCAUAGGAAAAUGGCAAUGAUAAAAUGGGAGAGAAUGGAUUGAUUAUUGCUGCUUGAGCCCAUACAGAAAUAGGGCCUUGGAGUUGCUGGAUGCCAUUGAUUGCUAUCUAUUCAUUCUCACAACAACUUUAAGGAAAAUGCAGCCAAGAGGAGAUAUACUCCCAGGUUAGAGAUACAAUGGGUAACUUCCAGCAAAUAUUAUUUCUGUGUAGAAAUGAAAAAGUAAAAAUGAGGGAUGAUAUCCAUUUUCAGAAAAUGCAAGACUGGUAUAAAAUUAAAACAUUAUAAUGUCCAGAAAGAUGAUUAUGCAUAAAUGGCAUAUCCUGACUGAAUUUGUCAUCAGCCACAGUGUUCGAUUCAUACCUACCUGUUUUACAGGAAAAAUAAAAGAUAAGUACACAUUGCUGCUAGCAUCAAAGAAGCAAUGCAACUCUAAAGACAGAGCUGGAAUCUUUUUCUUGCAUUAACUUCAAAUCUGUCAGUGGUAUAAAUUAUGAUUGCAGAAGUUAUAUUAUUGUGGCAGUAUUAUAAGCAAGAAGAAUAUAGCAGUAUUUUCAGAUCCCAGGUGGAACAUAUAUGGCUGGCAUUUAUAUCCCAGUUUAUGAUUUAUAAAGCAAGAACAAAAUUAUGAAGGGAAUAUAAGUGCUGCCCCACCUAAUCUGUCAUUUUGUUGCGUUACAUCCAAUUUCAUAACUUCUUUUUCCCUUAUUUCUUAUUUAGAAAAAUGAAUGCAGUGCUAUCAUUUUUAGAAGGAAAAGACCAGAGUUCAUUGUAUUUAGAGACGGUCAUGAAUGGCCUAUUUAUAUUAAGUAUGAGAGUUUCCAGAACAGCGAUUAAAAAUGUUUUAAAAUUCCAGAUUAGAAAUGUGGGAUUUUCCUUUUGGGCUAAAAAGCACUCUUUAAAAAGUUACAAUUAUACAACUCACAGGAAUGAAUUAAAAUUAGAAGAUUUGCAUUUAUUCUCCUCUCUUCAUGGCAGUAUAAACUUUAUGUGUUAGGGUUUUGAUUCUUCUUUUCCUCUUCUUUACUUGCAAUUAGAAUUCUGAACAUGUAUUGGUAUUUAAAAUGGUAGUUAUCCCGGACUUAAUGUAGUUGAUUCCAUUCCUGAGAGACACAUUUCUUAUCCCCUGAUUACACUCAGUUUUACUUCUACCUCCUUAUGCUACUCAAGUAAAAUUAACCUUGGUGUGACUUCCACCUUCCUCAGACUACUGACCUGGAAAUAGGGAUUUUUAAACAGGAAUCUAGCACAUGGUCAUCAUGAGGUAAUCCUUCUCCAAUAUUCUUUACUGGAAACAUCUGGAACAUGAUUAAUAGUUUGGAAAAUAGGUUAUGUUAGUAAAAGGUAAUAAUAAUUGAAAAUGAUUUUUUAUGUAGAUAAAUGUGAUUUUAAAUACAAAAUGUAAGUUCAUGAGAAGCAGUUGGAAGAAGGGCAGUUACCUGUUAUUCAUUCUUUUGAAUAUUAAAGAAGAUCAUAUAUAAUAGCAGGAGAAAUUUGUGUUAGGAAUAAUGAUCCAGUUUUGUAGAAGUUGCCCAGAGAGAAGGUAAAUUCUAUAGUGCGAAAGAAAAAAGAUAAAUAGUUAAAUGUCUAUGAAGUGUCAGAAUUUUGAGCCCAGGACAAAAUUGUCCCCAUGUUUGUUGCAAGCUUUUUUUCACUUACCAAUGAGGUGGUAAAUAUAUAUUUAUAUUAUUUACAUUUGUAUUACUUGUAUCCAUUAUUCUGCUAAGGUGUAAUGAGCUACAGGUUUUCUUGGAAGCAAAUCUGGGAUACAUAGAAUUGAUUGUUUUAGAAUGCAAAUUCCAGUAAUCAGGGACUAUUCUGGGUUCUGAGUAUGUGGAAGUAUUCUGGCAAGAAGCAAACUACAAUAAGCUGUUUAUAACUACAAGGAGUCACCAGUGUCAUGAGACAUGAAAAAAAUGUGAUGAGGGAGGCAUAAUUUGAUGUAGAAGAGUCGCAGGCAAAGAGAACCCAUUUUAAAACAUCUUAUUGGAAAAUGUGAAUUGUUUAUUUGUCAUCAGACUGCCAAUGCUGAAAAUACGGCCCAAAUUAGGGGCUCAAAUUAAAACAUACAGAGCAAGAGCAAUACGUUGGACACAGUUUUCAUAUAUUUUUGAGAAAGUAUUAAGAAAUACAGUGAAGGUAUUUAUUGAUUCAGUGGUAUUUUUCUGUUUAUUUCUUAGAACUAUAUUUUAUGCUGCAUUCUUUUACUUCAUAAGUAUCCCCUUUCUUCCUCUAUGCUUUUGUCUGGGAUUGAAAUAAAAUAAAACAUUUAGGGCUAUCCAAGGCUGUCAGGUCCAUAAUGAAAUCUGGCUUUAUUUAUGUGUGUGCUUAGAGGGUUCAGAGCAGUCGGAGCUGCUAACUGUUGUGUUAAACAUUGGUUGGCAUGCUCCUCCUUUAAAUCCUUUGAAAAGAGCUGAUUUUUUAUGUUCAUGCAAAAGAGUCCUCAGAGGAUAGUGAGGGUGAAAUGUGGUCUGCUCAUACAUGAGAUUAUCUUAUUAUACAACCUAUGCCAUUAUUAGAGGAAGAAUCAUUUGUGGGGUAAAGUAAUAUGGAUCUCUUUCCUGUAGUGUGAAGAACAGGUGUUCUACGGCCUAGGAAAUUUAGAGGAAACUUUAAUCAUGCCUGUAGAUUUCAGUAAUAAAAAUGUAUGACCUGUGUUUGGCAUAAAUGGCAUCAUAGUAUGACAAUCAAAUCUGGAUUGUAUAUCUUAGUUUGUAUAUCUAACACACAUUAUUUUGAUUUAAGUAACUGGGAAAAUUAGUAUUUUUUUAAUGUCCCAAGUAUACAUAAUGAUUAGGAUAAGUUUUUUAAAUGGGGAAUUAUGACCUAAAAUAAUUUUUUCCAUGGAGAAUGGAUGCCUUGGUAUUAAGUAAUCAUAGCUUUAUGUUUGUACCAGGAUGUUAUUGAUAACUGUGAGGGAAGUGGUUUGGGCACCUCACCAUUAGCAAGAGCAAUAUUUACACUGGAAGAACAAGUGAAGUCUACAAGGAAUGUUAAGGUCCAGGAAACUAUAGGGUCAUUAUAGAGAUGUGGUAUUCAAAUUAGCAAGACCUUCAGCAUAGGCAUCACCUAGGAGCUUGUUAGAAAUGCAGAAUCUGAGGCAGUGCCAUGGACCUGCUGAAUCUACAGUUUAGUCAGCUCUUAAGGUUGUUGGUGUGCAUGCUAACAUUUGAGGAAUGCUGGUCAAGAGUCUCAAAUGGAAUGGAGCCAGUAAUUGAAAUUGGAAAACAGAGUACAAAGAGUGAGGGAUCAUGAGCCUGGGGUGCUGAAAUAAAUCAAAGGGAUCAGGAUCAAAGGAAGUUAUGAGUUUUUGUUUGUUUUAAUGAUGGGAGGGUGGGGUAAGAGAAUGGAUGGUUGGUAUCUUGAGUGAUGGCCAUAGUUAGAACCACCAUUGAUGCUUCGAGUUUUAUGAAGUGUGCAUGAGAUUACCUCAUUUAUGAUUAUGGGUGGAACAGACACUGGGUACUGUGGAAUCUGGCAGCUAUUAAACAUCGAAAUAGAUCACAAACUUGGAAGCCUGGUAAGGUGGAAGACUUGAGCUGAGUCAAGUCUGGGGAAGUGAUUGUUGUUGUCUGAAGAUGAAUCAGUCUCCUGGGGUUGCAAAACCUAUCAAACCUUUCCCUAAGAGCAAAGGCAUUGUAUUGAUGGGAUGAUUAUAAAGUUGGGCUUAGCUGUAUUCAUUUCUGAAGUCAGGUGAGUAUUGCAUGUGAGUGUUCUUUCCAGAUGGCAGUGACAGAUUAUGCAGGCAGGCCUAAAGAUGGAAACACUAGUAAAAAGAAUGAGAUUUUGCUAAGUUGAGAUUUGAGGAGCAGUUAGACUCACAUUCUGUUGGAAAUCACUGGGAAGCCCAACCAUCUCACAGUUGAAGAAAUGUCAGUAAUUAUGUUUUAAUUUCUAAAAUUUAAAUUAACUUUUUUACUAACACUAAAUAUUUUAACAUUAAUUUUUAUUGAUUUUACUUAUUUUCCUCUAAAAAACAGAAAUACACUCAUAAAAAGUCAAAAGAAUAUAGAACAAUGAUUAAAAUCAAUCUACAGUAUAUAAUAUACACAUAUUUAAUAGGUUGUAGCAUUUUAUAUAUACCCUCUCUCCAACUUCUUUCCCCUUUCCUCCCAAUUGGUAACUGUACUUAUGGCUUAGCAUGUUGUAUUCCAUAUCUUAGGAGGAAAAAAGAAUUUUUUAGUCAUGAUAGCAUCUGAAAUUUUGGAAGAGAAGAAAAUUUGUUUUAGUACCAACAAAUCUUUUGAAUAAAAAUUGUAUAGGGCUUUUAAGGACUAUAAUAAGGCCCAAAAGACAAGAUCUUUCUUUGAACUUACUAGCACUGUAGGCAGGAAAUGGGCUGCAAUGUAUUUUAGUCCCUGCCAAUUAUGUCAGUGAGAUCAGAGGUAUAUAUACAAUAUAUUUUUAGUGGUUACCAGCACUUAAGCUGUGGCAAUCCUCAUCCUACACUCUUGUGGCUUAGCUUGGCAGAUCUGAGAUGGGACAUAAGCCACAAAGUGCUAUGGGUCUUAGGACAUAAUGAAGUCAUACAUUACGGUAAAGGGUGGGGAGGGGGAAGAAACCCCAACAUUUUCCAAUAGCCAAGGUCUUUGCACAUAGAUGCUGCACAUACAUUUUAUUAUUUCUGUAUUUAUAGCUACUUAAACUAUGUAAAGAUUGCCUUAAUUUCUUUACCUAUAAACUUACAGGACUAAGUGACUUGCCUUUAUUUAUGCCACAGGGCUAUUCAAUGCCAUCUAGAAUACCCUUCAAAGCAAGUAUCCCUGGCUCCUCUCCAUACACAGUAGGUGUUAAAUGAUAGAACUCUGUUCGUGGGUAUCUUGUUAGGUGCUAUUGGGGCUCGGAAACAGAUACUUCAAACUAUGGUGCAUUGACAUGCUGAACUGAAGAAGCCUCAAGGUCUUUUUGAUUCCCCAUUCCCAUCUCUCAAUCUUCUGUUCUCCCCGGCCCCCAAAACAGGAUGAAGUUGUUCUUUGAAGUUUCCUUAUCUGCCUAAAGACUGGACCUGCCAAAAAGAAAACAAUUACUGCUGGUCCCUUCCCUGAGUUUUCAAUAACUGAACUCACAUGACAGGAGGAAACACUGAAGUCAGUAAACACUCCUGGAUAGACUUGUCACAAACCACUGUAGGUUCUGUGGGCCCAGCAGAUUUUGUCCCAGGCCUUUGUAUGUUCUUCGAGCCCAUUGACUUCCCCUAAAAAUCAUUUACUAUGCCCCUAAAAUCAUCCAGACUUCCUCAUCUCCCUUUUCCCCUAAGAAGGGUGUAUAACCUGUACCCCAUUGCAUAGUGGGGUAAUCACUCUGUGAUCUUCCCUCAUGCACAUCAAUAAAUUUAUAUGCUUUUUUCUUUUAA